rnacentral:rRNA from 1 species
CCCAGACUCCUACGGGAGGCAGCAGUGGGGGAUAUUGCACAAUGGGGGAAACCCUGAUGCAGCGACGCCGCGUGAGUGAAGAAGUAUUUCGGUAUGUAAAGCUCUAUCAGCAGGGAAGAAAAAAGACGGUACCUGACUAAGAAGCCCCGGCUAACUACGUGCCAGCAGCCGCGGUAAUACGUAGGGGGCAAGCGUUAUCCGGAUUUACUGGGUGUAAAGGGAGCGUAGACGGCAAUACAAGUCGGAAGUGAAAUACCCGGGCUCAACCUGGGAAUUGCUUUGGAAACUGUAUGGCUGGAGUGCUGGAGAGGUAAGCGGAAUUCCUAGUGUAGCGGUGAAAUGCGUAGAUAUUAGGAGGAACACCAGUGGCGAAGGCGGCUUACUGGACAGUAACUGACGUUGAGGCUCGAAAGCGUGGGGAGCAAACAGGAUUAGAUACCCCCGUA